UACGUAGGGGGCGAGCGUUGUCCGAAGUUACUGGGCGUAAAGCGCGCGUAGGCGGUCUCUUAAGUCCGGGGUGAAAGGUUCAGCGCUCAACGCGAACAGUGCCCUGGAGACUGGGGGACUUGAGUGUGGGAGGGGGCAGUGGAAUUCCGGGUGUGGCGGUGAAAUGCGUAGAUAUCCGGAGGAACACCGAUGGCGAAGGCAGCUGCCUGGCCUGACACUGACGCUGAGGUGCGAAAGCGUGGGGAGCGAACGGG
rnacentral:rRNA from 1 species